AUUAUGGAGAGUUUGAUCCUGGCUCAGGACGAACGCUGGCGGCAUGCCUAAUACAUGCAAGUCGAGCGAAUGACGAAGAAGCUUGCUUCUUCUGAUUUAGCGGCG
rnacentral:rRNA from 1 species